UCAUGCCGCGUGAGUGAAGAAGGCCUUCGGGUUGUAAAGCUCUUUUGUCAGGGAAGAAACACCGGCUCUAACACAGUCCGGGAAUGACGGUACCUGAAGAAUAAGCACCGGCUAACUACGUGCCAGCAGCCGCGGUAAUACGUAGGGUGCGAGCGUUAAUCGGAAUUACUGGGCGUAAAGCGUGCGCAGGCGGUUAUACAAGACAGGCGUGAAAUCCCCGGGCUUAACCUGGGAAUGGCGCCUGUGACUGUAUAGCUAGAGUGUGUCAGAGGGGGGUAGAAUUCCACGUGUAGCAGUGAAAUGCGUAGAUAUGUGGAGGAAUACCAAUGGCGAAGGCAGCCCCCUGGGAUAACACUAACGCUCAUGCACGAAAGCGUGGGGAGCAAACAGGAUUAGAUACCCUGGUAGUCCACGCCCUAAACGAUGCUGACUAGUUGUUCGGGAUUUACAUCCUGAGUAACGUAGCUAACGCGUGAAGUCAGCCGCUUGGGGAGUACGGUCGCAAGAUUAAAACUCAAAGGAAUUGACGGGGACCCGCACAAGCGGUGGAUGAUGUGGAUUAAUUCGAUGCAACGCGAAAAAACU
rnacentral:rRNA from 1 species